CAUGUGAGCAAGAAGUCUCUUGUUGCUGAGAUAAUGCAAACAGAUCCACGCGGUAACAAACUAGAGAGAGCAUCCCUCGGGCGUUAUCAACCUAUGGGAUCAGACGAUGUUAGUCUACUCAGACCAUGUGAGAUGCAAUCAUACAAGUCAAGAAGCUCAUCUGAUAUGCAGCAUUCAGUGUCUCAAUCAGAAAAGGUGACUACUACAGAACCAGCAGGGAAGGAAAGUAUAGAAGUAACCAAGGAAACCGACACAGAUAAAGGCAUGUCUUUCCUGAAAAAAAUCCUUGGCGCGCGGGAAACCAGUGACAUCAGACAACGCUGAUGUAGAUGAAAGUGG